AGAAGAGAAAUCCCUUUUGACUGGGAGAUUGGGGAAGGCUUCACAGCAGAUGUGACAUCCAAACUGAACCUUAGGGGAGACUAAGAAUUAGUGAGAAAAUGGGGCAAGAGGCAUUGACAGUUGCAGGAAACAUUAGCCCAAAACUGGAGUGUGAAAAGGCCUAUCCCAUUUGGUGAAUGGCUAACAGUCUGAUGUACCCGGAGUUAGGAGGAUGGAAAAUGAGGCAGAGAAGAAAGUUUCAAGCAAGGUAAAGAGGACAAUCCUUUAAGGACCCUGAAUUCGAUUUUCAGGGCCUUAGAUUUUUAGGACACGUGGAGUUUCUGAUUGCUUAUUGAGGGACUUUAUGGCAUAAUCAGAUUUGUGUCUUGCCCAGAUAUUUCUGUUAAGUUUGGAGAAGGAAAGAUUAAGAGGCAAGAAGUCCACUUAGGAAGGCAGGGCCAUGAAACAGGUACAUUCCCAAUGAGCUCUUAAGAGACAUUGAGGCCUCUGGUCCUUGAACUGUAUCCUGAGUAGCAGUUAUCUGUACAUUGUGACCAAAUAACCAAGGAUAACUGAAAAGAAGACUCAGGGGAAAGGUAGAGGGGCAAAUAACUGAAAUUUUAGGCUAACGUAAAAUACCUCUCCCCAAAAAACAUAAGAAAGGGUAAAGGCCAAGGCCAGGGGCUCUCAAACUUGGCAGAACAGAUUUGGAAUCACCUGAGGAGCUCUAAACACUACUGGUAACUGGGCCUCAUCCCAAGAGAUGCUGAUGAAACUGGUCUUGGGUACCACCAGGACAUUGGGAUGUGUACAAGCUCUAAAGGUGACUCUAAUGUGCAGUCAGGGGUCAAGAACCAUGAGUUAGUUCUUAUCAGAUCUAAUGAGUGUCUUAGCUCAAACUGCUAUAACAAAAUAUCAUAAACUGGAUGGCUUAUCAACAACAGAACUGUAUGUCGCACAGCUCUGGAACCUGGAAAUCUGAGGCCAGGGUGCCAGCAUGGUCAGAUUUGCACAGUAUAUCAUUUAUUCAUGUUCCUAUAUCAUCAGAACCCCUGUCGUUAUGCAUGCUUCCAAGAAUACCACAGUUUCCAGAAGUUUCUUCAGGACACUGCCAGAGAUCAUUUUCAGAACUAUUCUUGUCUUCUGCCUCUUCUGGGAGUCACGGCUGCUUCUUUACCAAUGACAGCUCUCCAGCAUUGCUUCUAUCCUCCCACCUACUAGAUAAAAUUACCAAGAUACCCAAUCAUCAAAUUCCUGGCACUUUUUGACAGUCCUGGCCCCAGGACUGCUCUCCACUUCCUGACAUAACCCAAUCCAAUCCUGACUCCGGACUUCCUUCAACCUUCCUAAGAAGCACUCAGUACAAAUCCUAAAUCUAUAAUAAAGACAUCUUACCAAGACAUCCCAUGGGCCCUAUUGUGUGCUCUCUCCCUUGCUGCAACAGCUAAACAAACCUAACUGUUUGGCCACAAGUAUGUUCCUGGUGGUCAUUGGCUGGUGAGUUUCAACAUCCUGAAAGACAAGUUACUUAUUCAG